CUAAUAUGGCAGAAAAGUGCAUUGGAUUUAAAUCCCAAUUAUAAAGUUUUUUACUUUUUUUAGAA
rnacentral:tRNA from 1 species